rnacentral:tRNA from 1 species
CCGGGUAUGGUGUAGCGGUAACAUCGUUGACUCUCACUCAACAGCCCGGGGUUCGACUCCCCGUAUCCGAG